UCACGUGAUACUGGAGGAGAGGGUUUCUUACCUGGGCUGUCCCCCUUGGUGAUGGUCAGUAAUAGUUUGCUAAGUCGAGACUCAUAAUCAGGACCGAUAGUUCUGGGUAAGCCUUGAUGUCUUUGUCCUUACCUUCAGAGAUCAAGCCCCAUGUUACCUAACAGUAAUAUGAAUUAAUUGCACUAAAAUCAAAUACAAAUUAUCAUUUAUUUAUUGCAUGAGCUAAAAAUUACAAGAUAUUGUAGGGCACAAAGCA